GUAAGUAAAAGGUAGUCCCUGCCCAGUGCAACUAGAGUAAUGUCUGUUGUAAACGGCGGCGUUAACGUGAGCGUCCUAAGGUAGCGCGAUAAUUUGUUUUUCAAUUGAAGGAUGGUAUGAAAGGGUUAACGAAGAAGGUGCUGUGUCUAAAAAUUCAAUUUAAACUAACUUUAAGGUGAAGAGGCCUUUAUGUAAAGGAAGGACGACAAGACCCUAUGAAGCUUUAUCUUAAUUGGAGCUCUCAGGCUCUUAUACGAUUUUGAUGGGAGAUCAGUAGAAAUAAGUCUUCUACUAUCAUAUUAAUCUUACUAGUAUUUCCUAACUUUAUAUGUGUGGCUAGCUACUCUAGGGAUAACAGCGCAAUUUCUCCCGAAAGAUGGUAUUGGAGGGGAAGAUUGCGACCUCGAUGUUGGCUUUAGAUAUCCUAGAGGCGUAGAAGCUUCU
rnacentral:rRNA from 1 species